CCUACGGGAGGCAGCAGUGGGGAAUUUUGGACAAUGGGCGAAAGCCUGAUCCAGCCAUGCCGCGUGAGUGAAGAAGGCCUUCGGGUUGUAAAGCUCUUUCGGACGGGAAGAAAUCAUGAGGGCUAAUAUCCCUUGUGGAUGACGGUACCGUAAUAAGAAGCACCGGCUAACUACGUGCCAGCAGCCGCGGUAAUACGUAGGGUGCGAGCGUUAAUCGGAAUUACUGGGCGUAAAGCGUGCGCAGGCGGUUUUGUAAGACAGGCGUGAAAUCCCCGGGCUCAACCUGGGAACUGCGCUUGUGACUGCAUCACUUGAGUACGGCAGAGGGGGGUGGAAUUCCACGUGUAGCAGUGAAAUGCGUAGAGAUGUGGAGGAACACCGAUGGCGAAGGCAGCCCCCUGGGUCGAUACUGACGCUCAUGCACGAAAGCGUGGGUAGCAAACAGGAUUAGAUACCCUGGUAGUCCACGCCCUAAACGAUGUCAACUAGGUGUUGGGUGGGUAAAACCAUUUAGUACCGUAGCUAACGCGUGAAGUUGACCGCCUGGGGAGUACGGCCGCAAGGUUAAAACUCAAAGGAAUUGACGG
rnacentral:rRNA from 1 species